AAAGCUCCAGGCUGAACCAGGAUAUCUGCAGCCAUUGCUAGCUCAGGGGAGGAGGGGGAGCAACCACAGCUAUCAAGAGCCAGUGCCCGGACCAGGUGUGGCUGCUGUCUUCACAGGCUUCCUGACAAGCCGGAGAUCAUAAAUAAAAGAUUCUCCUUUGGCAGGAACACAGGAAUCCUGGUGUGGCCAACAGUGAAAGCAAAAAGCCUGAGGGAAAAGCCUAGAGCCUCUGCUAACUCUACAGGGUUACUCCACUUCUCUCUCUAAUCCUAACCGCCUCUGAGAAGCCACCAGUGCCAGGCGAGCCACGAUGUCAAAGCUGACACCAAAGGCUGUUCUCUGGAGAAGCUGCUGCCUCUGUUUAGAAGCUGUGCCCCUUAGGGCUGCAGUGAACUAUGGGGUGGGUAGAAAUUCUAAUGCCUGGGAAUUACAGUGGUACCAAUUCCACAGACUAAACCGAAGUAACACCUUCCUUCACAGCUACCCUGGCACAAAGUGGGGACCUGCUUGCUUGCAUUAGGGAACUCAGCUGACCCAGACCUUCAUACUGACACAUGCCCCCGCAGACCAAAGGCCAAAACCGAAAUAAAA
ensembl:processed_transcript 5730435O14Rik uncharacterized LOC110303782